rnacentral:rRNA from 1 species
UGCCAGCCGCCGCGGUAAUACGGAGGGUGUAAGCGUUAUCCGGAAUCAUUGGGUUUAAAGGGUCCGUAGGCGGACUAAUAAGUCAGAGGUGAAAUCCCACAGCUUAACUGUGGAACUGCCUUUGAUACUGUUAGUCUUGAGUUAUAUUGAAGUAGAUGGAAUGUGUAGUGUAGCGGUGAAAUGCUUAGAUAUUACACAGAACACCGAUUGCGAAGGCAGUCUACUAAGUAUAUACUGACGCUGAGGGACGAAAGCGUGGGGAUCAAACAGGAUUAGAUACCCUGGUAGUCCACGCCGUAAACGAUGGAUACUAGCUGUUGGAGAGCGAUCUUCAGUGGCUAAGCAAAAGUGAUAAGUAUCCCACCUGGGGAGUACGUUCGCAAGAAUGAAACUCAAAUGAAUUGGCGG